AGUUUAAAGAAGCACAUUUAGAUGCAACAUCUGUCACCCCAUUUAUGACCAGGCUUCAUUCUACUUAUCUGGUGGACUUGGCGGGUUUCCGUUUCCUCCCUCACAGCACCACGUAUGUCACUCUGGAAGCUGCAGCUUUGUUCGAAGAGGAUGACUAUCUCCAAACAGAUGAGGAUUGAUCUUUGGUUAAGAAAAUACGAGUAACUGUUCUCCUGCUAGAACCUCCAAAGAAGCUAUCAAAGAAGCACUUUUCAAUUCUUACUUCUUUAAGUCUUUCCUU
rnacentral:snRNA from 1 species